rnacentral:sRNA from 1 species
UUCGGCAGUGCGCUGGGGGUGGCUGGUGAGACUUCUCCAAAUAUAGUCUCGGCCGUGGCAAAUAAUAUCCAAAUGAAGGUUUUGUGACGGCGCGGUUUCGAUCGUUGCAUGUCAUGUAAUAUUCAUUGGCCGCGGCAAUUUGAACCAGUUAAUAGGGCGUGCGCCGAAAGUGCGCGUCCCUUUUACGUUCGAGGUUCUCAUGCAAGCCAAGCUUCUCGGCGCCGUCGGCGCCCUUCUCGCUACAGCGUUUCUUGCUGGUCCCGCUGCCGCCGCCGAUA